rnacentral:rRNA from 1 species
UACGUAGGGGGCAAGCGUUGUCCGGAUUUAUUGGGCGUAAAGAGCGUGUAGGCGGCCAGGUAGGUCCGUUGUGAAAACUCGAGGCUCAACCUCGAGACGCCGAUGGAAACCAUCUGGCUAGAGUCCGGAAGAGGAGAGUGGAAUUCCUGGUGUAGCGGUGGAAUGCGCAGAUAUCAGGAGGAACACCCGUGGCGAAGGCGGCUCUCUGGGACGGUACUGACGCUGAGACGCGAAAGCGUGGGGAGCGAACAGG